UGCCCCCUGCUGCACCUGUGAAUACCGACCAUUAAAAUUGAAAUUCAUUCUUCCCCCUUUCUAAUAUCACCACCAUCGAAGUAUCUUUCUGUCUGUAGAACCCCAAAAGCAAAACCUGAUGGUCGUUGCAGCUGGUCCGAUAUCCUUGUUGUCUGUAAGAAGAGGAAAUCAAGAAAUUAUCAUGGGUUUUCAUUAUUGAGAGUUAAGAAGAGGAAUUUGAAAUUGAUUCUCAAAUUACAGCGAAGGAAUUAGAGGAUUAGGUUUCGUUUUACAUCUAAGAUUAAGAAGCUAAUUGAGAAAACUAGGGUUUUGUUUGUGCUAAAAAUCGAAGAAUUAAACAGAAUCAAUAAAUGGGUUUGUUUUAAUUAGGUUUAUAAUUGGUUUAUUAAUGGAUUCGAGUUUUAUGGAUUAAAGUUUCUAACAGAUUGGGGAUUUAGGGUUCAUGGAUUUGAAUUACAGAUGAAAAAGAUGAAACCGAUAGUGAGAAAUUAUAAGAAGAAAAUUGAAUUUGUGUCUGAGGUAAUCUUUCUUACUCAUUUGAAUUGAAUUUCUUUCAUGAACUUGUAUUAUGAAAUUUGGGUAUUGUUAUGCUCAAUUUUGAAUUGAAAAUUUGGUGGAAAUGGAGUUGAGUUUCUAGUGGUGUGUAGAAGGUUCUUAGUUUAAAUUGUCUAUUACAGGAAAAAGUUUUUAGAGGAGUAUAAUUGUUGCAGGUGGUGGUUUAAUGAGCUACAGAACUAUGAAGAUUGUGAUGGUGAUGUAAUUGAAAUAAUAGUGCGGUUGAUGUGGUCUUGAAUGAGCUACAAGAGUUGAUCUUAGUUUGGUUUAGAUUGUAAUGAUUUGAAUGGUGAUGGAUGAGUAUUGGUUGUGGUGAGAUGCUUUUGAUGAUGAUGCUAUGGUAAGUCAUAAUGGUUGUGACUGAAAGAUAUUGAAAUGAAUAGUGUUGCGGCUAUGAAGAUGGUGGUUUAAAUGUCUAUGUGGGUGAAUGAUAGUGAUGUAAAGGAAUGACGCUAAUCUGAAGAGAUUUGAAAUGUUCAUAAAUUUAGGCCAAGAUCUUGAAACAUGAGUGGCCAGCUAGGUGGUGAAAUUUUAUUCCGGAUCUUGUUUCAGCAGCGAAGACAAGUGAAACAAUAUGUCAGAAUUUCAUGGCUGUAUUAAAGCUUCUCAGUGAAGAGAUGUUGGACUUUUCACCUGGUGAAAUGAUUCAGCAGAAGAUCAAAGAGCUAAAAUAAUCAUUGAAUAGUGAGUUUCAACUUAUUCACGAGCUAUGCCUAUAUGUGCUAUCUGCAUCUCAAAGAACUGAGCUAUAAGAGCAACACUGGCUACGUUGCACGCUUUCCUUUCAUGGUUUCCUCUGGGCUACAUCUUUGAAUCCCCACUGGGUGUGGUAGCGUAUAAGAAUCUUAGUUUCCAAUGUUUGUCUGAGGUAACUUCCCUUCAGUUUAGAGACUUCUAUAACAUGAAGUAUAUGAAAAUGUACAUUGUUUUCAUUUCACAAUUACAGCCUUGUAGGGAUGGAGUUUGAGUCUAAUUUAAAGGAAGUGACGAGUGACGAUGCCCAUAAUUCACUAGUUAACCAGAAAGCUGUAUAAUCUUUAGCUGACCCUUAGGAGUACCCUAUCUUGUUCGAGGAUUGGCAGGUUGCUCCGUGGAAUCUAAAAUUUCGGAGACAAGGAGGUAGAAGAGAACGGAGAAGAACAUGAAGAGCAGGGAACCUAGGAAGAAGAGGUUGUUGAGGUCGAAACUGAUUCCACAGAUAUGAGCAAUAAAGCAACAAGAAGCUAUAUUUGAGCAUGUAGGUAAUGAAUGAUGUUGAGCUUGUCUCCAGGUCUUGUGCCUUUAAGAUUGUAUAUACCACUGCUAUUACACUUAUGACUUAACAUUACAACUGCAGAAUAUGUAUGUUCUGAAAUCUUGGGAAAUGUCUAUAUACUUGUCAUUCUUUUAAUACUAGGCAUAUAAUGCAGGGAACUUGAUUA